GCCUUCUUAGCUUAGGGGCAGAGCAUUCGCUUGUAAGCGAAAGGUCGCCGGUCCGAUUCCGGCAGAAGGCU
rnacentral:tRNA from 1 species